AGGGGUGUAGUUAAAUGGUAUAAUAGAGCUCUCCAAAAGCUUUGUUGGGGGUCCGAUUCCCUCCACCCCUG
rnacentral:tRNA from 1 species